GAGACAGAGCAGGGCAAGCAACUGCUCGUGCCCGUGCAUGAGUCUCAGC
rnacentral:SRP_RNA from 12 species